GAUGUAUUCUCUUCUUGUUCAUUGGGGAGAGCGCCCGUGAUAUGAAGGUGAUCAUUGUAACCAUUUUUGAGGGAGCCCUUCACACAGGUGAAACUUUAUUCUGAGAAGGGUCCGUGGCAGGCGCUGGUCAUGCACACCUGGGCUGCGGCUUUCCAAGGGGCCAUUGAGCGUGGAAGUUUUGUGAUGACAUCAGUGUCUUUGCAGAUUGCUUCCUGGGUGCUUGUGCCAAUGGUAUUUUUAAACUGAGGUAGCAGUUGAAAAUAAUAUUCAAAAUUUUGGAUAAAGACGAUGGUUGAACAACACUCAAUGUACCAAAAAAAAUGACUGAAUGAAAUAGAUGAAUUGUACGGUUGUCCUGCCUUACAGGAAGUUAUGGAAGCAGCUAUCCGUAGACAGUCACCUCUGAAAUGAUGAGCCAAACAGUGCUUGGAAAUAAAGCAGAACCAUGCACCCAGCAACACCUUUGAUCUCGACCAUAUGGAACUCCACCAAGCUCAGGAAAAAAAUAAUCUCUCCUGCAUCCACAGCCGG